rnacentral:tRNA from 1 species
UCCGCGGUAGCUCAAUGGUAGAGCAGUUGCCUGUUAAGCAAUUGGUUGCAGGUUCGAAUCCUGCCCGCGGAG